AAGUACUAUUACAAAGAGCUACCUGGUUCCUGGAAAGAUCAAGUUCCACUGUCAGAUUCAUACAAGCAGGAUAACACUGGUUGGUGACGUAACCAGGGGCAACUUGAUUGUGGCUACAGAUGACCUACCUCUCUGGUGCCAACAUCAAGGCAAUCUGUGCAGAAGCUGGCCUGAUGGCCCUGAAAAAACAUAGAAUGAGAGCAACGAAUGAAGAUUUUUUAAAAAUCUGAAGAAAAUGUUAUUUAUAAGAAACAAAAAAGCACCCUUGAAACGCUUAUCUCUUCCAAACCACAGUUGCCUCCAAGGAAAUGGUCGGGAUUCAAUUGGAGCAGUUGCCCAGAAGAAUCCAUGUUUCAGUUUGUCGUCAUUAGCAACACAUCUUAUCUAUUUUUGUCCACAUGAAGUGUAGGAUCCCCCCGGACUGCCUUCAUACAAUGCCCUCUUCCCAAUAAAGCAUGCUCUUUCUCAAAAUCAAAGGACUAAAACCAAAAAGCCUGCUCCAUAAGGUAGCUAACCAGUAGAAGUAUAAACUUCUAAUAUCAAAACUAUAGGUUACGUUCAUCAUCUUCUAUUACAUUUUCUUUGUAAUCUGCUAACACAGCCCAAGACUUCUUUUUUGCAAAUCUAUACAAGAGGAGAUACAUAUAUGACUGGCACAUGAGCUUUAUUUAAUACUUUAAUACUUACUGACUGGCUGCAGGAAUGGGUUGAUCAUGGAGGAGGGACAGCACUGCCACUGUUUUGCCUGCCCCUACGUGCACAACAUCACCCACAAGCUCUGGAACGUUCUCCUGAUGCACAGAGGAAAGAAGAUCAAGCACCUAAAAAUAAGUUCUCCUAUAUUAAGCAAAAAUACUAUGCAUGAGGUACGUUAUAUAUUAACUCUAAAACCCAAAACUCCAAAACAAGUUAUUGAUCUUAUUUUACAGGUUAACUCAAAAGGGCUGAGUAAACUGCCUGAGAUUUCACAGCUAGUAAAUGGUAGAGCCCAGAUUCCAAUGUAGGCCUGCCUGAUUCUAAGAAAGGUAUCCUUUCCACUAUUCCCUACUCCCGUGUGUUAAGAUACAAACCUAUGGCAGGACAUGGGGGCUAAAGAUUUCAUCAAACUCAGAUGGCCCAUUUAAUGAGAUAUUUACAUAGAUUAAAUAAUAUCUGAGAUACAUGGGAGAAUUAUUCUUAUUUAUCUUUUACUGGUAAAAUAAAUAAGAUAUCCAAAGUUGAAAUGUCCAUGAACACAAAAUAAAUGUAUGCAAACUAGUUUGUAUGCCCUGAUUUGGGUGUCUUCUCUACUUCACAAUAUUACACACAACAAUAGAGGUUAUUGGUUGUAUGUAGACAGAUACCCAGAUUAAAAUGAUGAGAGAGAGCACUUUCUUUAUAUUUAUUUUCCUAAAAUAAUAGGAAACACAGAGAUGCAGUUAACUUACUCCUUAGAACAUGGACAAUCUCUGAAUAUGAAAAAUUAUACUAAAAUGCUGCAGACUAUUCAUUACUUGUAAAGUAGGAAUUAGGACAAAAUUUCUUUAUAGUGUUUAAGGUAUAAAGUAUUUGAAGCAAUUUUAUUUACCAUUUUUGUCAAGCCAACAUUUUCUGACUAUUCAUGAUAAAAUUCCAAAAAAAGAAAGUGCUUGGUAUCAAAAUAUAUGUUAUAUCCAAGAUCAUAACAGUUACAUUAUUUCCAUUAGAACUUUUUAGAAUAGAAUUUAUAAACCCCAAUUGUUAUGAAGCCAAUCUGAGAAUUGAAGUUGAAAAGCCAGAAAUCACCUCUGAGAGGUUAUUAUCUGUAUUUACUCAUUGUUCCACUGUAAUUUUAUACAAUCUGUGUUUAAAAGCUGAAUUAUGAACCACACAGCCAUGACUAUGUUUCCUCUCAUUCUUUAUAAAAUAAGUAAAAUAUAAAGAAUACAGCAGUUACAUUCUAUCUUCUGGAUUUUUAAAUCACUUACAUAUUAAAACUAAUGCUUAAAUUAUAUGUAUAACUCUGAGGGAAGAAAAUAAGUACCAUACUUGUUCAUUCCAUAUGCAGUUUUCCCCAUACUUCAUUGAUCAGGCUGUUUUCAGAGAUUAGUUGUGGCACUUCAUGACUGUUUGACUUCACAGAAUAAUAUAUUUUAUAUCCACUGAUAUUUUGAUGCUAUUUGGUUUGGAAAGAAUAUGGUUCAAACAUUUGUAUUAUUCUCUGCAAUGAAAUCAGUUCUCUACUCACUGCAGUUUGUCUUUAUAAAAAACAUUGUAGAGGGCGCCAGGGAGGCUCAGUCAGUUAAGCAUCUGACUGUUGUGCCCAAGAUUGCAAAUCUGAGAAACCACCAAGGAGCCAACAUCCAUUCAAGCACACGAGGGUUUAUUAACAAGCUCGAGCUUGGGUCCAAGUAUACCCAACACAGAGGAGCAGGGACUUGGACCCCGAGGUUAAGAGGCGUAGCAGUUUUAUAGGGGCCAGGGGCCAAUGAGAUAAUCCUAGUGCUUUCUUGGAUUCGCUAUCUUGGGCACAACACUGACUUGAUUUCAGCUCAAGUCAUUAUCUCAGGGUCCUGAGAUCAAGCCCUGCCACAGGCUAAGCCCUGGGUGUAGAGCCUGCUUAAGAUUCUCUCUCUUUCUCUCUCUUACUCUACCCCUCCCCACCCUGUUCUCUCACGUAUUAUAGCUUCAACCCACUUAUUAAUAGCAAACUAGAUAGAAAUGGUAAAAAUAUAAUAUAGUUCAUUUUUACCCCCCACUCCCAAAUUUUAGUGGCUUUUUCUUAGACUAUAAAAAUAAGACCAUUUAUCACCAUUACUGAAAAUAAAGACAGCUUUAUUAUUUCCUUGACAAUACAUUUUCCUUUUUUAUUUUUUUCUCGAUAUAUUUCACUGGCUAGGACCUCCAGUACAAUAUUCAGUAGAAGUGCUGAGAUCAGAAAGCCACAUCUUGUUUUUGAUUUUAGGAAGAAAAUAUUCAAUCUUCCACCAUCAACAAUGGUUUUAGAUAUGUUUUUCAUAGAUACCCUUUAUCAGAUUGAGGGAUUUCCCUUCUAAGAAGUUUUCCAAGAGUUUCUAUCAGGAAUGGAUAUUGAAGUUUGUCAAAUAAUUUUUCUCCAUUGAGAUAAUCAUAUGAUCUGUUAAUAUGAUGAAUUACAUUGAUUAAUUUUUAAUGUUAAACCAAUCUUACAUUAUCCUGGGAUAAAUAUCACUUGAUCAUGAUAUUUACUGUUGCAUUCAAUUAACUAAAUUCAAAUUAAGGGUUUUUGUGUUUGUUCUAGAGAAAUUGGUCUGGAGGUUUCUUUUCCAGGGUACUGCUGGCCUCACAAAAUUAAUUGAAAAAAAUACCUAUUUAUUUUAUUUAUAAAUACAGUUUGUCAAUUUGCAUUAUUUUUUCCUAAAAGUUUGUUAGAAUUCACAAGCAAAACCAUCUGAGAGUUUCUUUGUAGGAAAGUUUUGGAUAAGUAAUUAAAUUUCUUUAAUAGAUAUGUACUUAUUCAGGCUAAAUAUUUCUUCAUGAAUGAGCUUUGGUAGGAUGUGUGUUUCAGUAAUUGUUCCAUGACAUCAUCUUGUUGAUUUUAUUGGCGUGCAUCAUUCAGAUUAUUUUCUUAUUAUCCUUUGAAUGCUUGUAAGAUUUGCAGUGAUGUUUCCUUUCUCAUUCCUAAUAUUGGUAAUUAUGUCCUCUCUUUUUUUUUCUUGACGAAUUUGACUAGAAGUUAAUCGAGUUUAUUGAUCUUUUCAAAGUUUUUUGUUGAUUUGCUUUUAUUAUUUUUAAUGUUUGAUAUUUCAUUAAAUUCUGCUUUUUAUUAUUUCUUUCCUCUGUAUACUUUGAGUUUAAUUUGCAUUUUUCCUAGUUUAAGUAGAAGAUUAUAUAAUUGAUUUUAGGUCUUUUUUCUUCUAUAAGUAUAUAAUGUAAGAUUUUUCUCCUAAGUGUGGCUUUAUCCGAGUGCCACAAAUCUUGAUAAGCUGUUGUAUCACCUCACAUUCUCCAAAAGCAUACUUUAAAAUGAAAUUACAUGUGCAACAGAUUUAUUAAGUGAAGAGGAAAGUUGAGAGAAACACAGAAAACCUCAAGAAUCUUUUGAUUGAAAUGCUGUGAUGACUCCUGUGAAAAGAGAGAAGGAAAGGAAGAAUGCUGUGUAAAAACAGAAGACUGAGGUAGAACUCUGAAAAUCUUGGCAAGUCUGAAGGGAGCCUCAGCGUAAAACAUCCCCUAUUAGAGGAGCCUUUCAUUGAACAAGGUGACUUGGCUCUGUAUCCUCACCAUGUUCAGUCACUGCCUAGGAUAGGCCCAACAAGAGCAAGGCCACAGCGAGAAUUCUGCUGCAGAUCCUGAAGGUAUCAGCUAACUGUACUCUUCAUGCAAGGUUUUCUCUUUUGAGAGGACCUGACUGGCAAACUCCCAUGGAUGCCACAGCCUACCCUGUCUGCCACAAAGAUUCAUUUCUUCAUAUAUUUUCAGUUUCUCCACAAUUUUUGUGAAUCUCUCUUUCCAAGAGGGACAAACCACAAUCUCCAUCAUCAUAUUUGGUUUCUGGGCCACAAGAGGUCCACUAUCUUUCCCCACUACUGAUUUAAAGUUCCCAUCACCCUUGGUUAUCACUCUGCAAAUCUUGGUCAUUUACCCAAACCAACUUUUAAAGAUCUUAGUAGCUUACCCAACAAGGGACCCCAACUGCCCAACAGUAGCUUACCCCAACCCUCAUUGCUGAGGAAUGUGACCCACCAGGUAAUUAGAUCCUUUUUUUGGGUAGAGUUACUGCAGUUUCCACUCAUACUUAGAACUGGGCAGGAAGUACCAACAGGUAUUCAAGUGGAUUACCUUUGUCCCACACGUAUUCAUCCCUGCCCCCACUGUAAAAGCAGGCUUACUUCCUCCUGCUGAUCAGGGUCAAUUACCUAUAUAUUAACUCCUUGCCUUUUAGUCUCUAGAAACAAGGAGAAAAAGUGUCAGGACAGUAUCUAUAUCUUACAGUUAGACACACUCAUGCCAUGUCUCCUGUCAAGAAUACAACCUUUUGAAGACCCGGACCUUUAAACAAGCAGCUCCAAAAGUUAGAAGAAUGGGAGGCACAAUGCCUUCUAGUAGAUCCUCAGGAUUGAUAAAUGGGAUACUCUGGCUUUAACCCAUUGGUUUCCAGACCCGUGAACUCUUCCUGUUCCUUCUGUGAACUAAUGCAGAGCUGAUUAGUACCGAUAUUGUGACUUGAAGAAUGGCAUCCCAUCAUUGUAGAGUGUUACCUUGGAAUUGGUACCUCAGUUGUGCCCCAAUAGGCCAUUCCAAUAUUCUAUCAGUUCUCUUCUAGAUGGUGUUGUAUGUUAUAAGGAAAAUAGAUCUGAAUCUCAUAACUCUUUCACUAUAAAAUGAGUCCCCUAUUUGGAUGUUAUGAUGUUUGGGAUUCCUUGCAUACUGAUCAAAUAUUUCAUAAAUUCCCAGAUAGUGAUGCUUGCUAAGACUCUGCAAGUUGGGAAGUUAAACCUUUCGCAGUAUAAAUAUUAGAUACUGUGAAGAUGAACUACUCACCCUUCCUAGAUGGUAGGAGCCCAAUGUAGCUGACUAUCAGCACUGGGUCUGCUGAGAAGAACCACCACUGAACUUAGAAAUGUUAGCACCCCUGUCAUCAAUG
rnacentral:lncRNA from 1 species